rnacentral:lncRNA from 1 species
GAAUGAUUGGUGAUGGCCUAGAUACUGUUUUGGAUGAAUUGAGAAACUAAAUGGAAUAACAGAAGGAGAUAAACAGGUAUAAAAGGUCUAAGAAUUGGGACGACUCAGGAUAUCUGAUUAGAGAGUGCCUAAGGAGAUUCAGCAUAGUCCUACCAGCAAAGAUUAUUUAUUUACUACAAGAGUUAAGAGUGGCAGUUUGGGGACAGCACCAGGAGAUAUCAGCUGUGAUGGCUUGGAAAAAGUGUAAACUGGCAGUGUAAACAAGAGCAGGGCAUGUAUGAGUAGUUGAGAAUGGUGAAUAGGAGUAUGACUAGGGAAAGUGGUAAAAGUAUUGUCCAGUCCUUUUUAAGUUGGUGGCUGAGCUUGGUGAGGUGUGUUUUUUAAAAGACCUUUAGUCUAUUCUACUUUUCUUGACGACAGAGGACCGUAAGGGAUAUAAAGGUUUCACUGAAUACUAAGAGCCUGAAAAACUGCUGGCUGAUUUGACUAAUAAAGGCUGGUCUGUUAUCAGACUGUAUUGAGGUGGGAAGGCUAAACUGAGGAAUU